rnacentral:rRNA from 1 species
GAUGAACGCUGGCGGCGUGCCUAAUACAUGCAAGUCGAGCGAACGGACGAGAAGCUUGCUUCUCUGAUGUUAGCGGCGGACGGGUGAGUAACACGUGGAUAACCUACCUAUAAGACUGGGAUAACUUCGGGAAACCGGAGCUAAUACCGGAUAAUAUUUUGAACCGCAUGGUUCAAAAGUGAAAGACGGUCUUGCUGUCACUUAUAGAUGGAUCCGUGCUGCAUUAGCUAGUUGGUAAGGUAACGGCUUACCAAGGCAACGAUGCAUAGCCGACCUGAGAGGGUGAUCGGCCACACUGGAACUGAGACACGGUCCAGACUCCUACGGGAGGCAGCAGUAGGGAAUCUUCCGCAAUGGGCGAAAGCCUGACGGAGCAACGCCGCGUGAGUGAUGAAGGUCUUCGGAUCGUAAAACUCUGUUAUUAGUGAAGAACAUAUGUGUAAGUAACUGUGCACAUCUUGACGGUACCUAAUCAGAAAGCCACGGCUAACUACGUG